CCUACGGGAGGCUGCAGUGGGGAAUAUUGGUCAAUGGGCGCAAGCCUGACCCAGCCACGCCGCGUGAAGGAAGAAGGCUUUCGGGUUUUAAACUUCUUUUAAGAGGGAAGAGCAGAAGACGGUACCUCUUGAAUAAGCUACGGCCAACUACGUUCCAGCAGCCGCGGUAAUACGUAGGUGGCACGCGUUGUCCGGAUUUCCUGGGUGUAAAGGGCGUGCAGCCGGGAAGACAAGUCAGGUGUGAAAUCCCGCGGCUCAACCGCGGAAUUGCAUUUGAAACUGGUUUUCUUGAGUACCGGAGAGGUCAUCGGAAUUCGUGGUGUAGCGGUGAAAUGCGUAGAUAUAAGGAAGAACACCAGUGGCGAAGGCAGAUGACUGGACGGCAACUGACGGUGAGGCGCGAAAGCGUGGGGAGCAAACAGGAUUAGAUACCCUUGUAGUC
rnacentral:rRNA from 1 species